CUGGUAUUGUUGGGAAGUAUGGUAGGUGCAAAUUGAUUAUGUGGAGUCUUGCAAUUUUCUCAGAAUUUAUAUUGUUGCAUUGUUGAAUGGUCAGGUAUUCUUAAUUGUACAGAAUUCAAAAUGAGUAACUGAUCAUGCACUUCAUUAUCUGACGUAGUGUCCUCUGUAGUUAUGAGAUAGUAAUCUUUACCUAAAUGAUACUCCAAUGCUGUAUUGUCAAUUUUGAUAGUAACAAUACCAUUAGUUGCCCAAGGAUGUUAGUGAACUUAAGUUGUCUUGAGCAUCAAUGAAGUUGUGGUUGCUUAAUAUGAGUUGAUUGAAGCUGUUAAUUUGUGAAUGUUGCAACAUGGAAUUUUGUUGUAUGUCUAUAUUUGCCUUAUCUAUUAUGAGACUAAGUUGGUAAUUUAAACCUGAAUGCUAAUCCAGAGCUGUAUUGCAGUUGUGAUAGCAACAAUACCAUUAGUUACACAAGAUGUUAGUGCACUCUAGUUUUCUUGCACAUCAAUGAAAUUAUUUUUACUUAAGAUGAGUUAAUUGAAACUAUUAUUGAGUGAAUGCUGCAUCGUGGAGUUUUGUUGUAUGAUUCUGGAUCUAUGAGGAAUGUGACUGUUAAGAGUAACUGAGUAAGUGUUGUCUUGCUUACAUUCGAGGUCAUGGUUCUUGGCUUGAAAAUUGUCUUGAUGUUUUUAAUGCAGGCACCCGGUAUGGUGCUAGUCUGCGUAAGCAGAUUAAGAAGAUGGAGGUUAGUCAACACAGCAAAUUUUUCUGUGAAUUCUGUGGGAAGUAUGCUGUGAAGAGGAAGGCUGUUGGAAUUUGGGGCUGCAAGGACUGUGGUAAAGUUAAAGCUGGCGGUGCUUACACUUUGAACACUGCCAGUUCUGUGACGGUGAGGAGCACAAUUAGAAGGCUGAGGGAACAAACUGAGAGCUGAGCUGCUUUUGUCAAGGCCUACUUCUCUUUCUUUACGAUAUGUCUGCGCUUGUCUUAGCUAUAGACUACUUGAAAAUGUUUUGAAAUCAAUUCUACAGUUUUGAUGAGUUGAUGUUCAUCUAUGUAGUGCACUCCAUGAUUUUGGGCAUUUAAAUCUUUUACGUCAAGACUUUUAACUCUCAUCAUUUGCUGUUUAACAAUUUAUUUAAUCUUAAUUGCAUUUCAGCCUACCAAGGCCAAACAUAGCUCGCUUCUGAGACACAGUUUCACCUCUUUCAGAGAAUAUUGGUAUUGAUUGAUUUUGUAAACAAGCAGCGUCCCAUUGCACCAUUCUAUGGAAGAGUGGCGCUAACAACUCUUUUCUAAUGUAUGCUUUCCUUAGGUUUCUGCGCCAUCUGUUCUUGUUGUGAAGGGCAAUAGCCUUGGUCUUUAGACUUUUAUGUUCUACAUAUGAUUGGUGGAUGAAUUUUCACAGUACUUGGAUGAAAU
rnacentral:misc_RNA from 1 species